UUACCGGCUUGACAUUCUCGAAACGUUCGGACAGGUGGUGCNUGGCUGUCGUCAGCUCGUGUCGUGAGAUGUUGGGUUAAGUCCCGCAACGAGCGCAACCCUAUCUAUGUUGCCAGCGUACGGGACUCAUAGAAACUGCCGGGGACAAUCGGAGGAAGGUGGGGACGACGUCAAGUCAUCAUGCCCCUUAUGCCGGGCUGCACGCAUGCUACAAUGGUGUACACGGGGCAGCGCGAGCUGAGCAAUCCCCAAACCUCCUCAGUUCGGAUUGAAGUCUGCAACUCGACUUCAUGAAGCCGGAGUCGCUAGUAAUCGUGAUCAGCAAGCGCGGUGAAUACGUUCUCGGGGAUUGUACACACCGCCCGUCAAGUCACGGAAGUCGGAAACCGAA
rnacentral:rRNA from 1 species